GCCAGCCUGCACCCAGGUGAUUGAAAGCCUUAUUGCUCACACAAAGCCUGUUUGGUGGUCUCUUCACAUCGACGCUCAUGAAAUUUGGUGCCAAAACCGGGGAUUGGGGGACCUCCCUUAGGAGAUCAAUCCCUUAUCCUUCCUCCUGCUCUUUGCUCCAUGAGAAAGAUCCACCUAUGACCUCUGGUCCUCAGACCCACCAGCCCAAGGAACAUCUCACCAAUUUCAAAUCCGAUCUUCUCGGCUUAGCAGCUGAAGACUGACACUGGCCGAUUGCCUCCGAAACCUACAGGACCAUCACAGAUGCUCUGGGUAACUCUCACAGUGGAAGACAGGAAUGUCAGGCCUCUGAGCCCAAGCUAAGCCAUCAUAUCCCCUGUGACCUGCACGUACACAUCCAGAUGGCCGGUUCCUGCCUUAACUGAUGACAUUCCACCACAAAAGAAGUGAAAAUGGCCUGUUCCUGCCUUAACUGAUGACUUUGUCUUGUGAAAUUCCUUCUCCUGGAUCAUCCUGGCUCAAAAGCUCCCCUACUGAGCACCUUGUGACCCCCACACCUGCCCGCCAGAGAACAACCCCCCUUUGACUUCCUGAGGAAGAUUGACAUUUGCCACACCUGCAUAAAGAACCCACUUGGUGAAAACCCAAGUUUUCUUGGAGUCUGCUGCUGUGAGACACGAGGAAAAAACAGUACAUGUGUACACGGUAGAUCUGGAAGGGAAAGCAGAAAGUAUCCAACACUUCUUGCAUGAAGAAAACAAAAUGUGGAUCCUUCUUACUCCACGUUGAAUGAAAGCAGAAGUUUGAUUAUACAGUUGUUUCCUCAGUAUCCACAACGGAUUUGUUCCAGGAGUCUGAAUAUCUGUGGGCUCCCUAUCCCACGAAUACUCUAUUUUCAAUCUGCAAUGGGUUGAAUCCAUGUAUACGGAAUCCACAGAUAGGGAAGGCUGAUUAUAUAUGUAUUAAAAUAUCAUAGUGGUUGUGACUACUCUGUAAGGGCAUUUUGGAAUCCUGCACAAAAUUUAGUUUACAUGUGGAGACCGAUGUUAUGACACACACAAUCCAAGAGGUUAUGUAAAGGUUUAUUACAUACGUAAUUGAGGCUUUCUGCGAAAAACCAUUCAGUCCUCCCAAUGUGAUCAAAAAUGUCUUGUGAGAGCAAAGAAAGGAUACUGGCUUGGGCUUUUAUUGUGGGUAUGAGGUGGAAGGAUUCCUGGAUGUAGGGAGGGAUUUACAGGGCUUAAAUCUCCUGCUGCCUGGCAACAAAGGAGGCAGCACCUAGGCUUUCUUACGAGCUUACCCAGAGGUGAGGCAGAAGAGGAAGAAGGAAAGAUGAGGCUCAAAGGCUGCCAGCAAUCAAAUAUCAAAAAAAAAGACUACCAAACAAUCCACUGCAGAGUAAUGCUAAAUUAACUCUGAUUAUUAGAAAAUAUAUAAAGUAGAGUUAUUGCAUGCAUAGGCUAAUAAUUUUCAUCAAAUUUUGGAACAUUUUAGUCAUUUAAAUAAAUAUUUUGCCCCACCUAUUUUUCUAUCUUCUCCUUUUGGUUUCCCAUUGCACAUAUGUUGGUGCACUUGAAGUCUUUUUACAGGUCUUUGAGUCUCAGUUCAUCUUUCUCCAUUCUUGUUUUCUCAAGAGCUGGGAAAGUACCUCAGGCAGUAAGCUGGGACAAAUGUAAGACCUUCAUGUUUUGUUCUCUUCCCCUUCAGAAUUUACAUAUUACCCAAUCACAGAAAAUUACCAUUGCAUCAUUUCAUGUGUAGUUUCUAAUGCUUGGGUUCAUUUAAAAUUAUGUGAAUAUUCUGUAUUUACAUCCCUGUUUCCCUUUUUCAAAAACAAAAUAGCUAUAUGAUUUGACUACAAUUUUUUAAAAUCUUAAAUUUCAGCUGUUUUUAGCAAAAAGAAAAUAGUUGCAUUCUCUGCCCUUAAAACAGCAUAUCACACAACAUAAAAUAAAUAAAGAUUUUAUGCACUUUAAGUAAAUUUUUUGACUAUUUCCUUUAUGGAAAAUUAAGGGUAUGCAUAUUAUAUAAACACGAAAUAGGCACCUGUAAAAUAGGUCAAUUAAUAUUUCAUUUUUAGCUUUUCAAGUGAAAAACACACAUAAAGAAUAACUGAUGCAAAUAAUAAGGUUUUUUGGUUUUUUUUUUACUAAUGACUUGUGAUCCUGUGGCUUCAUUGACUUUCCUACAAU
rnacentral:lncRNA from 10 species